UUAGAAGAACUCCAUUAUAGAAAGAAGAGAAUCUCUAAAUUAAGGCAGACGCAAGCUCAAUAUGUCUUUCUACAUGGCCGCGAAGAUCUCUCUGUUUCCCAUUGUCGCCGUUGCUUCAAUGAAAGCAGAGUGGAGCUCGAGAGAAAAAUGCUCCGGUUCGGCUGGUCGAGUCUACAGAGCUGCACUUCAAGCUGUGGUAGCUUCCAUCUCUGCUGGAAAUGAAGAGCGUAAAGGAACAAUGAUUGUUGAUGCCAUUGACAAAGUUGGAUGUGAUGGUAGUUUGUCCAUUGAAUCAUCCUAUCCUCUUUUGAGACCAUGGUCGAGUAGAAGCGGUAAUGGAGAAUGACGACAGAAGUUACAUCUCACACUCGUUUUGUAAAAACCAUGAGUGAUUACUAGAGUGAGAUUGAAAAUGCUAGGGUGCUUAUCAAAAGACAUCAUCCCCAUUUUGGAGGAGGCCACUCAGCUUCGAGCUCUUAUUGCAGAGGAUGUUACAGGUGAGGCCUUACCAACCCUUGUUGUGGAAAAUCUCUGUGAUUUCCUCAAUGUUGGCGCCGUUAAAGCUCCAGGAUUUGGAAAAAAAAGGAAGGCUAUUAUGCUUCAGGAUAUCGCUAUCUUAGCUGAGUACCAAGCUAGUGACAUAGGCUUGCUGGUCAAAACAAAACUACUGAUCAAAUGGGUAUUGCCAAGGUCACAGUUAGCAAAGAUUCAACUACGCUUAUUGCAGAUGCAGCCAGGAUUAUCCAGCUUAAGGAAAAAGUAUUCAAGACGGAUUUUGUGUGUAUGACUCAGAGAAGCUUGCUAAGAGAGUCGCUAAACUAUGGUGGUGUUGCUGUCAGUUAAGUCGAGCAGCAACUGAAACGGAGCUUGGGGACCAUGAGCUGAGCUCCCUGUCGGCGAUGCGGGAAACAUGACUUUAGCGAAUGGGAGCUCCGGUUGGGGUGCAACGGGAUGAAUGAUGCAUAUGAGAAUGAGUGAAUCUGUUGGAAGCUGGACUAUUGAUCCGGCAAAAGUGACGAGGUGUGCGCGCUUCAGAAUGCUCUGCUUCGGUUGCGGACUUGCGGGAAUGGUACUGACCCUCUCAGGCCAGUGUUGCCAGUUGGGGACAAACCGAAACUUAGGCUCCUCUUCAGAGGCUCAUGGUGUAAUGAUUAAUGAAUGAAACACACAACAUUUGAUCUUCUUAGCAUAUAGUGUAUGUGGGAAAUGAGUAGUUAUUUGGUAACGGUGACGAGGAAUAAUUAU